rnacentral:rRNA from 1 species
GAUGAACGCUGGCGGCGUGCUUAACACAUGCAAGUCGAACGGUGAAGCAGAGCUUGCUCUGUGGCUCAUUGGCGAACGGGUGAGUAACACGUGAGCAACCUGCCCCUGACUCUGGGAUAAGCGCUGGAAACGGCGUCUAAUACUGGACAUGAGCUGCGACCGCAUGGUCAGCAGUUGGAAAGAUUUUUCGCUUUGGGAUGGGCUCACGUUGGAUCAGCUUGUUGGUAGGGUAAUGGCCCACCAAGGGGUCGACGCAUAGCCGGCCUGAGAGGGGGACCAGCAAGAAUGGGACUGAGACCCGGCGCAGACUGGGACGGGAGGCAGCGGUGGGGAGUAUUGGACAAUGGGCGAGAGCCUGAUCCAGCAAUGAGGCGUGAGAGAUGAAGGGCUUAGGGUUGUAAAGCUCUGUUACCCGGGAUGAUAAUGACAGUACCGGGAGAAUAAGCUCCGGCUAACUCCGUG